UCAGGACGAACGCUGGCGGCGUGCCUAAUACAUGCAAGUAGAACGCUGAAGAGAGGAGCUUGCUCUUCUUGGAUGAGUUGCGAACGGGUGAGUAACGCGUAGGUAACCUGCCUUGUAGCGGGGGAUAACUAUUGGAAACGAUAGCUAAUACCGCAUAACAAUGGAUGACACAUGUCAUUUAUUUGAAAGGGGCAAUUGCUCCACUACAAGAUGGACCUGCGUUGUAUUAGCUAGUAGGUGAGGUAAUGGCUCACCUAGGCGACGAUACAUAGCCGACCUGAGAGGGUGAUCGGCCACACUGGGACUGAGACACGGCCCAGACUCCUACGGGAGGCAGCAGUAGGGAAUCUUCGGCAAUGGGGGCAACCCUGACCGAGCAACGCCGCGUGAGUGAAGAAGGUUUUCGGAUCGUAAAGCUCUGUUGUAAGUCAAGAACGGGUGUGAGAGUGGAAAGUUCACACUGUGACGGUAGCUUACCAGAAAGGGACGGCUAACUACGUGCCAGCAGCCGCGGUAAUACGUAGGUCCCGAGCGUUGUCCGGAUUUAUUGGGCGUAAAGCGAGCGCAGGCGGUUUGAUAAGUCUGAAGUUAAAGGCUGUGGCUCAACCAUAGUUCGCUUUGGAAACUGUCAAACUUGAGUGCAGAAGGGGAGAGUGGAAUUCCAUGUGUAGCGGUGAAAUGCGUAGAUAUAUGGAGGAACACCGGUGGCGAAAGCGGCUCUCUGGUCUGUAACUGACGCUGAGGCUCGAAAGCGUGGGGAGCGAACAGGAUUAGAUACCCUGGUAGUCCACGCCGUAAACGAUGAGUGCUAGGUGUUGGAUCCUUUCCGGGAUUCAGUGCCGCAGCUAACGCAUUAAGCACUCCGCCUGGGGAGUACGACCGCAAGGUUGAAACUCAAAGGAAUUGACGGGGGCCCGCACAAGCGGUGGAGCAUGUGGUUUAAUUCGAAGCAACGCGAAGAACCUUACCAGGUCUUGACAUCCCGAUGCUAUUUCUAGAGAUAGAAAGUUACUUCGGUACAUCGGUGACAGGUGGUGCAUGGUUGUCGUCAGCUCGUGUCGUGAGAUGUUGGGUUAAGUCCCGCAACGAGCGCAACCCCUAUUGUUAGUUGCCAUCAUUCAGUUGGGCACUCUAGCGAGACUGCCGGUAAUAAACCGGAGGAAGGUGGGGAUGACGUCAAAUCAUCAUGCCCCUUAUGACCUGGGCUACACACGUGCUACAAUGGUUGGUACAACGAGUUGCGAGUCGGUGACGGCGAGCUAAUCUCUUAAAGCCAAUCUCAGUUCGGAUUGUAGGCUGCAACUCGCCUACAUGAAGUCGGAAUCGCUAGUAAUCGCGGAUCAGCACGCCGCGGUGAAUACGUUCCCGGGCCUUGUACACACCGCCCGUCACACCACGAGAGUUUGUAACACCCGAAGUCGGUGAGGUAACCUUUUGGAGCCAGCCGCCUAAGGUGGGACAGAUGAUUGGGGUGAAGUCGUA
rnacentral:rRNA from 1 species